rnacentral:ncRNA from 1 species
AGUAAAAAGCAAAGCUACAGUGAUGUAGUGACGCAAAACUAUAGGGUCUUAAUUCCUUAGAAUAAGAUAGCCAGUUGCC